GAUUUUGUUUGCUUUAUUGAUUCUGAACUCUGGCAUCAGUCAAACAUUGGAAAAAUUUUAUUUUUGAGAAAAAUAUGUUGAAAGUGAUUUUAAAAUUGCCCACUGGACAACAAAUAGUUAGCUGAAAACAGAAAUUACUAAUAUUAGAAAAAUCCUUCAAGACAUUCUUCUCCUUAAAACUCACAAACAAAGAAGACACAGUGAACUCUAGAUUAUCCAUAUAAUAAACUAAAAUGACAAAAUGACUUCCUUGGCCAGCCCGCAUGUCUCUGGGCUGUCACUGACAUCCUCUGGAGUGGGCU
rnacentral:lncRNA from 1 species